AAAAACAUCGCCUCUUGCAAAACUAAAAAUAAGAGGUCCCGCCUGCCCUGUGACUAUACGUUUAACGGCCGCGGUAUUUUGACCGUGCGAAGGUAGCGCAAUCACUUGUCUUUUAAAUGGAGACCUGUAUGAAUGGCACAACGAGGGCUUAGCUGUCUCCUUUUCCAAGUUAAUGAAAUUGAUCUCCCCGUGCAGAAGCGGGGAUGCACCCAUAAGACGAGAAGACCCUAUGGAGCUUUAGACACCUAGCCGCAAGUUUUGUCCAAAACCCCUAAAUAAAAGACUAAACAACUAAACCUGCCCUAAUGUCUUUGGUUGGGGCGACCAUGAGGAAAUAAAAAACCCUCACGUGGAUUAGGAAAAAAUCCCCAGAACUAAGAGCCCCCGCUCUAACUAACAGAAUUUCUGACCACUCAGAUCCGGCAAUGCCGAUUAACGAACCGAGUUACCCUAGGGAUAACAGCGCAAUCCCCUUCUAGAGCCCAUAUCGACAAGGGGGUUUACGACCUCGAUGUUGGAUCAGGACAUCCUAAUGGUGCAGCCGCUAUUAAGGGUUCGUUUGUUCAACGAUUAAAGUCCUACGUGAUCUG
rnacentral:rRNA from 1 species